AGUUCAACAUGAUGGACUACAGGACAGGACUGCUGCUUCUAACUUUCUGCUGGGCAGGUGUUGAUGGUCAGACUCUGACAGAAUCUGAACCAGUAGUUAAAAGGCCUGGAGAAUCUCACAGAUUGACCUGUACAGCCUCUGGAUUCACAUUAAGCAGCUACCCUAUGAACUGGGUCAGACAGGCUCCUGGAAAAGGACUGGAGUGUAUUGCUUUUAUACACACAGGCAGUUCUUCUAUCUAUUACUCCCAGUCAGUCCAGGGUAGAUUCACCAUCUCCAGAGACGACUCCAGCAGUAAAGUCUAUCUGCAGAUGAACAGUCUGAAGACCGAGGACACAGCAGUGUAUUACUGUGCCAGAAGCUGGGGUGGGGUAUAAUGCUUUUGAUUACUGGGGGAAAGGCACGAU